rnacentral:lncRNA from 1 species
CAUUUAACCACAUAUGCACUAUGAUUUUCCUCAUCAGGCUCUGCACUGGGCUCCAGAUGUAUGUACCAAGAAGGCAGACAUAGUCUUUUCAUGAAACCCCAGUUCAAAGUGCAGUGGGAGCAUCAGAUGAUUCAACAAGGAAUUGCAAUAAAGUGGAUUGAGUGUUGACAGAGGAAAACAUUUUUCAAAUAUAUGCAUGUUCUACAAGAGGAAUCUUUUGGAGGAGGCCUCUUUAAAACAGUUUGAUGGCAUCAGAUCUCUGAAUACUCUGCCUUGUGCCUCAGGCACAAGAAGCUGUAAGAACAACAACAAGGACAACAACAGCAGGACCAAGAACAACAGCAACAACAAACACCAAAAACAACCAAAGGAUCAAAGCCUCAGGAAAGCUCAGGGAGCUGGAACCGGUGGGGGAUCUGUGGGAUAUCAAGACAAGAAGAAUGCGAAGCGGAAGCAUUUCAAGCAGGAGAAAAGUCAAGGUGUGUGUGCCCUUGUGUGCAUUCCUACAUGUGGGCAUGUGCACGUACAUGUGUACAGAAAAGAAGCAGAUUAUUGCCUUCAGUUCCCAAGAUUUGCUAAGAUCAGUGUCUGACUCCAUCAGGUAAUGGAGAUAUUCAAGAAGGGUGCUGGUUAUCUAUGCCUUCAUUUGUUUCUGUGAAUCCUACACCAUUUCUCAUGUCGGGAAAGAGGUUCUUGUUUCCAGGACAGAAUCAAAUUGAGAAUUUACAAAAACCUUCCCUGUGUUCUACGUAUAUGUGUGGUGAUUAACCAACCUAUUCUGAAAAAAGUAUGCUUCACUGUGUUCCAGAGCUGUGCGGAGAAAAUGUUUGGAUUAAAAGACUUCUGACAUGAGGUUUUGUGGCUUUAUCUCUGUUGGGGUGGUGGUUGUAGGCUGUCAUCACAUGACGACUGACAUUCUCUGGAUAGAGGAAAGAGAAC